rnacentral:ncRNA from 1 species
ACACGAGAUUGAGCAUUAACAGGUCUGUGAUGCCCUUAGAUGUUCUGGGCCGCACACGCGCUACGCUGAUGGAUUCAACGUGUGUUCCAUGGCCAAAAAGCCCUGGUAACCCGCUGAACCUCCUUCGUGCUAGGGAUUGGGGGUGGCAGUUGUUCCUCAUGAACGAGGAAUUCCCAGUAAGUGCGAGUCAUAAACUCGCGUUGAUUACGUCCCUUUGUACACACCGCCCGUCGCUACUACCGAUUGAAUGAUUUAGUGAGGUCUUCGGACUGGUGCGCGGCAAUGCGUCGGCAUUGCCGAUGUUGCCGGGAAGAUGACCAAACUUGAUCAUUUAGAGGAAGUAAAAGUCGUAACAAGGUUUCUGUAGGUGAACCUGCGGAAAGAUCAUUA